rnacentral:ncRNA from 1 species
UAUCGGGGGUGCUUAGGCUGAGACGGACUCGUUCCGAACCCUUUAACCUGAUACGGAUAAUGCCGUCGGAGGGAGAUA